rnacentral:rRNA from 1 species
GGACCCGCACAAGCAGUGGAGCAUGUGGUUUAAUUCGAUGCAACGCGAAGAACCUUACCCAGACUUGACAUGCAGUUGACCGCUCUAGAAAUAGGGCUUUCCUUCGGGACAAUUGCACAGGUGCUGCA